rnacentral:rRNA from 1 species
AACGCGAAGAACCUUACCUGCUCUUGACAUGUACGGAACUUGCCAGAGAUGGCUUGGUGCCCGAAAGGGAGCCGUAACACAGGUGCUGCAUGGCUGUCGUCAGCUCGUGUCGUGAGAUGUUGGGUUAAGUCCCGCAACGAGCGCAACCCUUGUCAUUAGUUGCCAUCAUUUAGUUGGGCACUCUAAUGAGACUGCCGGUGACAAACCGGAGGAAGGUGGGGAUGACGUCAAGUCCUCAUGGCCCUUAUGGGUAGGGCUUCACACGUCAUACAAUGGUCGGUACAGAGGGUUGCCAAACCGCGAGGUGGAGCUAAUCUCUUAAAGCCGAUCGUAGUCCGGAUUGGAGUCUGCAACUCGACUCCAUGAAGUCGGAAUCGCUGGUAAUCGCAGGUCAGCAUACUGCGGUGAAUACGUUCCCGGGUCUUGUACACACCG